AAAAACUCCGGUGGUAUACGAUGGAUCCGCGUCUGAUUAGCCAGUUGGCGGGGUAACGGCCCACCAAAGCGACGAUCAGUAGCCGGCCUGAGAGGGUGAACGGCCACAUUGGGACUGAGACACGGCCCAAACUCCUACGGGAGGCAGCAGUGGGGAAUAUUGCACAAUGGGGGAAACCCUGAUGCAGCGACGCCGCGUGAGUGAAGAAGUAUCUCGGUACGUAAAGCUCUAUCAGCAGGGAAGAAAAUGACGGUACCUGACUAAGAAGCCCCGGCUAACUACGUGCCAGCAGCCGCGGUAAUACGUAGGGGGCAAGCGUUAUCCGGAUUUACUGGGUGUAAAGGGAGCGUAGACGGCAGCGCAAGUCUGGAGUGAAAUGCCGGGGCCCAACCCCGGAACUGCUUUGGAAACUGUGCAGCUCGAGUGCAGGAGAGGUAAGCGGAAUUCCUAGUGUAGCGGUGAAAUGCGUAGAUAUUAGGAGGAACACCAGUGGCGAAGGCGGCUUACUGGACUGUAACUGACGUUGAGGCUCGAAAGCGUGGGGAGCAAACAGGAUUAGAUACCCUGGUAGUCCACGCCGUAAACGAUGA
rnacentral:rRNA from 1 species